rnacentral:rRNA from 1 species
CUACACAGCGAUGUGAUGCUAAUCUCCAAACCAUGUCUCAGUUCGGAUCGGAGUCUGCAACUCGACUCCGUGAAGCUGGAUUCGCUAGUAAUCGCGCAUCAGCCAUGGCGCGGUGAAUACGUUCCCGGGCCUUGUACACACCGCCCGUCAAGCCAUGGGAGCCGGGGGUACCUGAAGUCCGUAACCGCGAGGAUCGGCCUAGGGUAAAACUGGUGACUGGGGCUAAGUCGUAACAAGGUACC